CAGGGGGAUCCACCACGUCACACAGGGCUCCUAGUCCAAGUGCUGCUGGGAGAAUCAGAGACCUGGCUCAUAGGGAUCAUUGAGAGAAUAAUCCCCUCAGAUCUAAGCUGAGCCAGAGCCCCUGGAUCAGGGAUACUCACAGGAUGUAGGUGAUGACGCCUAUGCUCCUGCAAAAUAAAGAACAGUCAAGUCAGGGCCACCUGGGUCCCAUCCCCGACCAGCAAGGGACACCCUCAUGGAUCUAAGGGGAAGAGGUCACUUGCCUCCUCCACAACAGACCCUGGAUGCCGUCUCAUGCUCCACACCCCUCUCCAUCCUGCUCUUCAGCAGCAGCCCGGGGUGUGUUUGGAGUCAUCCAGCUCUGAACCCUGAGUCCGAAGACCCAAGUUCAAGAUCAGACUCCUGCACUUGCAGGCUGUGUGAUUUAGAUGACACUUUUUAAAAGCUUGGAGAUCAUGGAGGCAAAAGAGAGGACAGUAGCUUGAGAAGGAGGAAGGACUGAGCCCAUUCAACUGCGAAUGGAAAAGGUGGAGAGUGGGAAAGUGUGAGUUUAUCUAAAACAAUAUCAAAACCAUUGCAUCCACAGCCUGUGUCUGCCCUCCUGUCCUCUUGCAUCCUACUACUUUAAGACUCAGGGAACUACGCUCCUGGUUUUGCUGCUGUUUUAGCUUUAUAAAAAUGCUGUC